UAGAGAUAGCUGGUUAUUCAGGAAAAGGAUAUUAGUCCAACUUUAAAUCUCAACGUAACAUCAAAUACAUCAAAAGCUUUAAAACUCAUUCAAAUAAGGUUCAGCCUAUUUGAAACAGGAUACAACCUAUAACAUCGGGUAAUGUCCCAAUCAUAUGACCAAGUAGGCCUGAAAGCAGCCAUCUUCCAAAAAGCGUUACAGCUUAAUCAUACCCUAUUACCAAUUUCAACAUAAACCCAAAACCCAUCACCCAUACUGAAUGACUCCAUACCAAUAUGGAAAACCUUAUGUUAGAACUAGUAACAAGAAACCAUUCUCCAAAAGUGACUGUAAGCCGGAAUGAACCAAUCACCGGCACUUACCGCUAAUGAAUCAAUAAUAGCAACAACACAAGAAAAUUCUAUUUUCCACAGCGUUAACCUUACACCAGAACUUUCCCGGAAAGAUUAAAAAAAGAGGAAGGAACUCGGCAAACAUUAACCCCGCCUGUUUACCAA
rnacentral:rRNA from 1 species